GAUGAACGCUGGCGGCGUGCCUAACACAUGCAAGUCGAGCGAGAAACUGACAGAUGAAGCUUCGGUAGAUUCAGUCAGUGGACAGCGGCGGACGGGUGAGUAACGCGUGGGCAACCUGCCCUUCACUGGGAGAUAGCCGCGGGAAACUGCGAGUAAUAUCCCAUAAUGCAGAAGCUUUACAUGAAGCAUCUGCCAAAGAUUCAUCGGUGAAGGAUGGGCCCGCGUCUGAUUAGCUAGUUGGUAAGGUAGCGGCUUACCAAGGCGACGAUCAGUAGCCGGCCUGAGAGGGCGGACGGCCACAUUGGAACUGAGACACGGUCCAGACUCCUACGGGAGGCAGCAGUGGGGAAUAUUGCACAAUGGGCGAAAGCCUGAUGCAGCGACGCCGCGUGAGGGAUGAAGGCCUUCGGGUCGUAAACCUCUGUCCAAGAGGAAGAAUCAAUGACGGUACUCUUGGAGGAAGCCCCGGCUAACUACGUG
rnacentral:rRNA from 1 species